CGGGUGAGUAAUGUCUGGGAAACUGCCUGAUGGAGGGGGAUAACUACUGGAAACGGUAGCUAAUACCGCAUAACGUCGCAAGACCAAAGAGGGGGACCUUCGGGCCUCUUGCCAUCAGAUGUGCCCAGAUGGGAUUAGCUAGUAGGUGGGGUAACGGCUCACCUAGGCGACGAUCCCUAGCUGGUCUGAGAGGAUGACCAGCCACACUGGAACUGAGACACGGUCCAGACUCCUACGGGAGGCAGCAGUGGGGAAUAUUGCACAAUGGGCGCAAGCCUGAUGCAGCCAUGCCGCGUGUAUGAAGAAGGCCUUCGGGUUGUAAAGUACUUUCAGCGGGGAGGAAGGUGUUGUGGUUAAUAACCACAGCAAUUGACGUUACCCGCAGAAGAAGCACCGGCUAACUCCGUGCCAGCAGCCGCGGUAAUACGGAGGGUGCAAGCGUUAAUCGGAAUUACUGGGCGUAAAGCGCACGCAGGCGGUCUGUCAAGUCGGAUGUGAAAUCCCCGGGCUCAACCUGGGAACUGCAUUCGAAACUGGCAGGCUGGAGUCUUGUAGAGGGGGGUAGAAUUCCAGGUGUAGCGGUGAAAUGCGUAGAGAUCUGGAGGAAUACCGGUG
rnacentral:rRNA from 1 species